ACAGGUUGUUACAUCUCCAAAGAGGAUUCCAGCAGCAAAACUUUAUGGUCAGCUUGAAUGGAAGCCCUCGCUCAGGUCUUACUCUAGCUCUCUUCUAGAGUGGUUGUGACCCCACCGCGCGCAAGGUAUUCACCAAGAACUAGAAGGUUUUGGACACCAUGGGAUGCUAAGGGCUGCAAGAAAUAAAGUAGUAUGUUGCAUUUUUCCUACAGGUAAGGAAACAUGUACCUUAUUUCUACAAAGAUGUGCUCUACUUUUUUAUUCCAUGAGUAUUUGCAUUCCCUAUAGAAGCUGAAUGGUUACAUUUAUGUUUAGUACACCAUCAUAAUCUCCCAAAUACUGCACUCAUUUAUACUUUCCCGCCCAUAUUUAAAAUAGCGUGUUUUAGUUCUGAUUACAGCCAUAUAGGUAUUCAUGUAUAAGCUCGUCUGCCUUUAGUUCUGGUUAAAUCAACUUGGAUGAUCAAUCAAAUUUCCAGUGAUGAUACUCUAGCGGAUUAGGCUUCUAAACCACUAUCACUUUCCUGACAGAAGUUGUGCAUGUAGUACAUGUUUUCAGUUCAGCAAGCUCUUUUCUAGUUAGAGAUCGAUUUUGAAGACUAACAUGUCAUAUGAAUGCUCCCAGCUUAGCAAAAGCCUUGAUCUUUCCAAUUUUGUAAGUUGGAGGAAUACUUUGCUACUUCAAAAUCUCCAGAUAAAAGUUGAAGAAUUCAUACGAUAGUCGAUUGGAAACAUAUAUCUAGCAGUUCAUUUUUUUAUGCGCACAAUGGGAUAAAUUGAUGUAACACAAGCCUUUACAAUUUAGUGCUAUUGUUAUUAGAAUCGGGAGACUUGCUUUGUUACCAUACUUAGAGUUGCCGAUUGUUUACUAUAGUACUCCCUUCGUUCCUAAAUGUAAGUAUUUUUAGACAUUUCAAAUGGACUACAACAUACGGAUGUAUGUAGACAUCUUUUAGAAUGUAGAUUCACUCAUUUUGCUUCGUAUGUAGUCACUUAUUGGAAUCUCUAAAAAGACUUAUAUUUGGGAACAGAGGGAGUAAUAGCCAGGAAGGUUUGUAGUCAACUUAUUUGCAGUUGUAAUUAGUCGACUUAUGCUCCUUAAAUUGUUGGUCUUUGGUGACCAGUGAAUGGGCAAUUGACUCUCUGGCGUAUAUGGCUGAUCUAAUUGUUGGGAAAAUCUUCGACACAUUGUACUCCCUCCGUCCGGAAAUACUUGUCGAAGAAAUGCCUAAAAAUGAAUGUAUCUAGAACUAAAAUACAUCUAGGUACAAAUAUUUCUCCGACGAGUAUUUCUGGACGGAGGGACUAAUAUGAAAGGUUUUAUGCCGCAAAAAAAUUAAAAAUAUGAAAGGUUUUGAUUUUUUUUCUUGGGACUUCUUCGUACACUUUUUACUAUUGUAUUCACUAUAAUUUUCCUGUAUUGAACUGAUUUUCCGCUUGUAUUGUAGAUAUCAAGUCUUAGAGAAGGAAGUUUUGUAUGGCAGUCAACUCUCUUCUCUGGUUCAGAUUCAUAGUUAAAUACCCCAUUCUUCUUUCUUCAGCCCUUGACAUUUUCUCCUACUUGCUAAUGCAGGAUGGAAAACUGCCUGUUACAUGUAGUCUUCAAAACCUGUGCUGAAAUGGCGCUUCUUUCUUUGGAAAGUAUACAAUAUUGCAAAACUUUUGGCUGUAUCAAAUAGUUUUCAAGUUGUUUCAGUGACAUCCAUAAGUGAGCAAACUUGUAGUGGUGUGUAAUGUUCACUAAACUUAAAACAGCUUGCGCCAUGUCUUUCUUCCGCAACGCAAAAGCUAGAUUAA